GCACAUGUACAUGCCUACAUUGUUAAUGCAUCAGAUUCCAUUAGAACUCCAUAGUUAAGUAUGGUUGGGAUAUACUAUUAUUGGGAUGGGUGACCUCAUAUUGAUCCACAUUCAUCGAUC
rfam:Picea glauca, whole genome shotgun sequence.